UUGCAGGUGGCACGGUAGUAUUUGCAUUCCAGAAUUUAGGUUUCUCUUUUGUGUACCCUACUUAGGUAAAUGUAUCUAAACAGUGUGAUUGGACAAAAAAUACAGUAUCAACUGAACAUACUUUCCCAAACUGAGGGAUGAAUCAGGUGUAGAAAAAUAUGAAAUAAUUUUACAUACAGAUGAAAAUGAAUUUUUGAGAAUUUUUGAGAAUUUUGU
rnacentral:lncRNA from 1 species